rnacentral:rRNA from 1 species
GAUGAACGCUGGCGGCGUGCCUAAUACAUGCAAGUCGAGCGAACAGACGAGGAGCUUGCUCCUCUGACGUUAGCGGCGGACGGGUGAGUAACACGUGGAUAACCUACCUAUAAGACUGGGAUAACUUCGGGAAACCGGAGCUAAUACCGGAUAAUAUAUUGAACCGCAUGGUUCAAUAGUGAAAGACGGUUUUGCUGUCACUUAUAGAUGGAUCCGCGCCGCAUUAGCUAGUUGGUAAGGUAACGGCUUACCAAGGCAACGAUGCGUAGCCGACCUGUGAGGGUGAUCGACCACACUAGAACUGAGACACGGUCCAGACUCCUACGGGUGGCAGCAGUAGGGAAUCGUCCGCAAUGGGCGCAAGCCUGACGGAGCAACGCCGCGUGAGUGAUGAAGGUCUUCGGAUCGUAAAACUCUGUUAUUAGGGAAGAACAAAUUUGUAAGUAACUAUGCACGUCUUGACGGUACCUAAUCAGAAAGCCACGGCUAACUACGUG